GGGCCCGCACAAGCGGUGGAGCAUGUGGUUUAAUUCGAUGCAACGCGAAGAACCUUACCAGGGCUUGACAUACUACAAAUCUUUUUGAAACGAGAGAGUGCCUUCGGGAAUGUAGAUACAGGUGGUGCAUGGCUGUCGUCAGCUCGUGUCGUGAGAUGUUGGGUUAAGUCCCGCAACGAGCGCAACCCUCGUUUUUAGUUACCAAUCUAAUUGGAAUUUCUAGAGAGACUGCCGGUGACAAACCGGAGGAAGGUGAGGAUGACGUCAAGUCAGCAUGCCCCUUAUGUCCUGGGCUACACACGUGCUACAAUGGCAAAGACAAAGAGUCGCAACUUCGCAAGAACUAGCUAAUCUCAUAAACUUUGCCCAAGUUCGGAUUGUAGGCUGCAACUCGCCUGCAUGAAGUUGGAAUCGCUAGUAAUCG
rnacentral:rRNA from 1 species